rnacentral:lncRNA from 1 species
UUUCUAUAACAAACAUGAUGUGAAUAUGUAGAAUCUAAAAUUUACUAUGGAAAAGAAGUAGAUAUCUCAUCUGAUAUCAGAAAAACAUCAUUACUUUCUUCUGUAUUGCUACUUUAGACCGCUGUCAGUGGAGUAGCCUUCGUUCGAUCUCUGAGUUGUGGAUAAUUUCUGACUCGAUGUCUCAAUUUAUCACAUUUGUAACAUCUAAUCUGGCUGUAGUCCCUUGACUUGGAUUUGGAUCACCC